UUAGGAGGCACCUCCUGCCAGUAAGAGCUGUUUGAAGCAGAUUGGUUAAUCAACUGACAGCUCCAGCCAUAUAUGCACAAAGCAAGGUUAACCAUCCAUUUGGUUAAAUCGAGAUGUCCAGCACUUGCUUAUCAGAUUUCUCUUGCCCUGAUACAGGAGGGAUGAUGAAAAUCACUUAACCUACUGGAUCAGGCUUUUUGCCGUGGUUGUUGAUGAAGAUGAAGCACAUACACAAAUCAUUAUGGGGCUGCUCAACUGGACUUCCCUUUCAGGAUGGAAUUCUUGAAGUAGCUUUGGGGGUAUUUUCUGAGCUACAGUAUGCCAUUGUGUAUUAUUCUUGCUGCAAUGCAAGAAUUUCUUUUUUUGUGUGUGUGUGAAGCCAGGCUCAUGCAGAAGGAGUUAUGCUGAUCACCAAAUAAAGGAACAAACAUCAAUUUGUUAAAAAUCUGGACUCGGCCUGUGUCAUCCUCACCCUGACCAGCUUUUGAGACAUCAUUAGACUUUGCACAUACAAUUUCCAUACUAUCUUUGGAGCCAUGUGGGCUAGGAAGUUGCUAUCCAUAUCAAGAAAAGAACUGCUAACCAGUAUGUUGUUUUGUGAUUGUACGAUGAGCCUUUGUGGAUAUUAAAAUCUGUGGAUGUUCAAGUCCCAUUAAAUACAGUGGCAUCGUAAAAUGG